UACAGAGGGGGCAAGCGUUGUUCGGAAUUACUGGGCGUAAAGGGCGCGUAGGCGGCCUGUUAAGUCGAACGUGAAAUCCCCGGGCUCAACCCGGGAACUGCGUCCGAUACUGGCAGGCUUGAAUCCGGGAGAGGGAUGCGGAAUUCCAGGUGUAGCGGUGAAAUGCGUAGAUAUCUGGAGGAACACCGGUGGCGAAGGCGCAUCCUGGACCGGGCAUUGACGCUGAGGCGCGAAAGCCAGGGGAGCAAAACGGGG
rnacentral:rRNA from 1 species